GACCACAGGCCCCUCAUUUGUGGAGGUGGACUUGAAACCAUUUAUCUCAUAAGGUUACCUUGCAGAUUAAAUAAGACAAUGUAGGAAAAACUGUUAGCACAAUAGCAGGUAAAACUGAAAUAGAUGGUUACUAAGGAGACAAUCAGCUUUAUGACCUGAAGAAAGCAAAAUUUCACCCCUGGAAAAAAGUCUGCUACUUCACAAGCAAAAUACCUGCCAACCCCAGGCAAGAAAAAAUUCUCCAGAAGAUUGCCUUUGGACUUGAUAUGGAACAUGGCCUUUUCUGUUUCUACAGCAGACAGCCUUUGAAUGUGAACUGGAGCAUCAGCUCUCCUGGGUCUCCAGCCUGUUGGCCCAACCUACAGAUUUCGGACUUGCUAGUCUCUAUAAUCAUGCAAGACCUCCUGCACAGAAGCUGGCAGAAGAGUUGCUUAAACAACAACAGUUCAGUGACUCAUCUGUGUUUUCACAACACGUUUGUACCAGCACCCAUGUCUAUUUGUAGCCUGACAAUAAAGACCCUAUAUGAACCAUC